AUGAUUGUUAAUAACGGAAAACAUCAAACGACAAUGAAAGUGAGCCUGCUGAUAAAGCACGGUGGCUUCUGUGAAAUCAGAAAACGGAUUCUCUCCAAAGCACAACAGGACAACUUGAGUCAGGAGGAGCUGGCAGAUGCCUCCGGAAUGAAGCCCACGUGUCGUCCGAGUGGGGAUUCGAGGCAGCAGCUGGGAUCCAGGCUGGGGGCCCGAGCAUGUUGGCUGGUGGGUCUGGGCAGCUCUGUUGUCAGUCCUUUGCCCAGCCUGGGCCCAGCCUAGAGAGAUGAUAUAAACCCAGAAGACUCAUCACCAGUUCACAG
rnacentral:lncRNA from 1 species